UGUAGAGAAUACAGAAAGAAGUCAUAUGCUUGUCUUAAAGAUUAAGCCAUGCAUGUCUAAGUAUAAAUAGUAUACAGUGAAACUGCGAAUGGCUCAUUCAAACAGUUAUAGUUUAUUCGAUAGUGCACAUUACAUGGAUAACCGUGGUAAUUCUAGAGCUAAUACAUGCGCAAAUACCGGACGCAAGAAUGGUAGCAUUUAUUAGAUUUAACCAUCACAUGGUGAAUCAUAGUAACUUGGCUGACCGCGUGUAAACGUGGUAAAUCGUUCAAGUUUCUGCCCUAUCAGCUUUCGAAGGUAGUGUAUUGGACUACCCUUGCUAUCACGGGUAACGGAGAAUUAGGGUUCGAUUCCGGAGAGGGAGCCUGAGAAACGGCUACCACAUCUAAGGAAGGCAGCAGGCGCGUAAAUUACCCAAUCCCGAUUCGGGGAGGUAGUGACAAGAAAUAGCAACUCGGGCGGUUAUCCGUUACGGGAUUGCAAUGAGAUAAGUCCAAAUCCGUAAACGAUUAACAAUUGGAGGGCAAGUCUGGUGCCAGCAGCCGCGGUAAUUCCAGCUCCAAUAGCGUAUACUUAAGUUGUUGCAGUUAAAAAGCUCGUAGUUGAAAUUCGAAUUAGCUGAUAGAGGGCUUAGGCUAUCUAGCAGUUGGUUCUCCGUCUACAAUCCCUCUUGGGCUUCAGGGUUGCAGAGGGCUGAGUAGACAAUUUACCUUGAAAAAAUUAGAGUGUUCCAGGCAGGUUUUCGCCGGAAUACAUUAGCAUGGAAUAAUGGAAUAGGACUUAGGUCUUUUGUUGGUUUUAGGACUUGAGUAAUGAUUAAUAGGGACAGAUGGGGGCAUUAGUAUUUAAUUGUCAGAGGUGAAAUUCUUGGAUUUAUUAAAGACUAACUUAUGCGAAAGCAUUUGCCAAGGAUGUUUUCAUUAAUCAAGAACGAAAGUUAGGGGAUCAAAGACGAUCAGAUACCGUCGUAGUCUUAACUAUAAACUAUACCGACUCGGGAUCGGAAGGGUAAUAUUUAAGGCCCUUUCGGCACCGUAAGAGAAAUCAAAGUCUUUGGGUUCUGGGGGGAGUAUGGUCGCAAGGCUGAAACUUAAAGGAAUUGACGGAAGGGCACCACCAGGAGUGGAGCCUGCGGCUUACCUAUCGUGACUGGGAAACAGAUCGGAAGAGCACACGUCUGAACUCCAGUCACUCCGCGAAAUCUCGUAUGCCGUCUUCUGCUUGAAAAAAAAAAA
rnacentral:rRNA from 1 species